CACAUACACCCACUUAAGUCUCUUCAGCUGACAAGAACCUGAUUUAAUGCACUGGGUGAUAACUGAACACCUACCUGUGGGCUAGGUUUGCUUUAAUCACCAUCAAUAUUGCUUGAACCAAUCCCCUGCUGAGGACUUCUUUGAGGACUCAACCACCCCCACAGUGACUGGGGAGAUUCUUCCGGUGCCUGAUGGCCUUUGGUGUCUUCAAAUUGCACGGCUUCAUAUCAGAGUGAUUCCUCAUCUCCCUCAUUUCCCUGGC
rnacentral:lncRNA from 13 species